AACGAACGCUGGCGGCAGGCUUAACACAUGCAAGUCGAACGCGUGCAGCAAUGCACGAGUGGCGCACGGGUGAGUAACGAGUGGAUAUCUGCCUUUUGGUUCGGAAUAACCCCGGGAAACUGGGGCUAAUACCGGAUGGUUCCUACGGGAUAAAGAUUUAUCGCCAAAAGAUGAGUCCGCGUCCGAUUCGCUAGUUGGUGAGGUAAUGGCUCACCAAGGCGACGAUCGGUAGCUGGUCUGAGAGGACGAUCAGCCACACUGGGACUGAGACACGGCCCAGACUCCUACGGGAAGCAGCAGUGGGGAAUAUUGGACAAUGGGGGCAACCCUGAUCCAGCCAUGCCGCGUGAGUGAUGAAGGCCUUCGGGUUGUAAAGCUCUUUUGGCGGGGACGAUGAUGACGGUACCCGCAGAAUAAGCCCCGGCUAACUUCGUG
rnacentral:rRNA from 1 species